AACUAUCACUAGAGUACAGGACACUUGUCGACGCUCGAAGCUUGGACUCGAACGCCACGGAACGAACACGGGACGCCAGGCGGGCACAGUGGAGCGGAGAGGACGGGGGCUGGAGGACGUGGGCGAGAGGUAGUGCGUGUUAUGUGUACCGCCUUGUGCUUUGUUGUCUUGCGUGAGGUGCUAUACUUAGGCAUCUGCAGGACGAGAGGAUCGACAUCACCCACUGAAGGAUCUGGGCGGACAAAGCGCCGGAAAAGUCAGCCAGCGUUCCCUAGAGCAGGAGUUGAAUGCAGCCAAGGCCUCAGGGAACACACGGUUGAAGACUAACCUCUGUUUGCUCAAGGCGGCACAAGUACACCCAGACCUGCCUUGUGUGGCCUACCAGUGUGAUUUGUCUCCUUCUGCAGUCCACUCUAAGCAAGCAGAUGCAACUGAUGGACGGACCCGGAAUGACAUUCAUUGUUUUUUCAAGAAACAUCGUGGCCGCCACAAAGUGAGUGACCCGGUGUGAGUGAAGUGUGGUGAAUCGUAAUAAAGACAUGAAGAACACGGUGCAUGUCAACUAUAACAAAAUGUGACGGACAUGGCAGACGUGCCUAUUGCCUGCAGGGAGUAAGACUCAACGACCAUCGCCACCACCACCACCACCAUCACCAUCACUCGAAGCAUCGCUCGCCCGCGGCCAUUCUCAGUGAGAUGCACGGUAAGAGGUGGCCACUGACCGUGAAGUCGUUGAGGUCGAAGCAGAAGGUGAGGCAGGCGAUGGUGGCGAGCAUGAUGCUGGGCACGAAGGUGUUGGCGAUGUAGUAGCGCGCCAGGUUCCUCAGCAGCAAGUCCACCUGAGGAAGAGGUACUACAACUGUGACAUCCAUGGCCCCUACGAGACCUUUAGUGGUGGGUGGUACGCUGAUGGCAUACCCUGACGCUGGGAACCUUUUCAUUUGUCUUGCUGUUUAUCUGUCUGUUUGUCUGACUGUCUAUCUGUAGGUUUAUGUCUGUCUAUUUGUCUGUUAUAGGGGUUUAUAAAAUUCAAAACCAUUAUGAGUUGUAAAUAUGCAGAACUUAAUUACCUUUCCUGAAGAUAAAUUUUACAAGACCUAAUGGGUGCUUCGUUCCUGUAGGUGAUUUAUCAUUUUCAUUCACCAUUUUCAUUUAACAUUAUCAUUCCCUCACAUAAUUCAUUUCGUCUGGAUGUGAGAGCGUGAGUCCUCUUGUUGCGUCAAUUAAACAGUCUU